AGAGUUUGAUCCUGGCUCAGAUUGAACGCUGGCGGCAUGCCUAACACAUGCAAGUCGAACGGUAGCAGGCCUUCGGGUGCUGACGAGUGGCGGACGGGUGAGUAAUGCGUAGGAAUCUGCCCUGAUGUGGGGGAUAACGUAGGGAAACUUACGCUAAUACCGCAUACGACCGAGAGGUGAAAGCGGGGGACCGAAAGGCCUCGCGCUGAAGGAGCGGCCGAUGUCCGAUUAGCUAGUUGGUGAGGUAAAGGCUUACCAAGGCGACGAUCGGUAGCUGGUCUGAGAGGAUGAUCAGCCACACUGGGACUGAGACACGGCCCAGACUCCUACGGGAGGC
rnacentral:rRNA from 1 species